rnacentral:rRNA from 1 species
CACGCCGUAAACGAUGAGUGCUAGGUGUUGGGGAGACUCAGUGCCGCAGCUAACGCAAUAAGCACUCCGCCUGGGGAGUACGACCGCAAGGUUGAAACUCAAAGGAAUUGACGGGGACCCGCACAAGCAGCGGAGCAUGUGGUUUAAUUCGAAGCAACGCGAAGAACCUUACCAGGUCUUGACAUCCUCUGACAAUCCGAGAGAUCGGACUUUCCCUUCGGGGACAGAGAGACAGGUGG